CCAACCAGAAAAAAUCAAUAAGCUUUGUACUCCUCAAAAUUCCUCGGGCAGUGAGAAAAAUUUGCAGGUACGAAUUUCCGAGCAACUGAUAUGAAAGCGACGGUAAUUAAUGACGGGCAAAUUCCAUUUAGAACUAACUUAUAGACGAUUUAAUGAUUGUUAGCCCUUGAAUUAAGAUUGUUCCUACCACAGAUUGAAGAGUCUCGAAACUUCCAGAGAUAAUUGUAAUAUGGAGAUUAUAAUACAUUUAAGGAUGCACUCCUGACAUACGUGGAGCUCGAGAAUAAGCAAAGACCGACAACUGUGCGCAUUUAACAUCGAGGGUUUCAACGGCCAUGCCGGAGUUGACAUCUUCCUCACCAGUUUUUAAACAUCUGAUUGCAGAUUACAAAAUUGUCAGAAGAGAUGAUGAAAAUGACGAGGUACAGUGAGAGGAUUUCAAACGAUGCGUAGCCUGACAAGCCUUCUGCUGGUGUUAUGAGAACAGCCAGAUGUUAUGAGGGAAAGAGGGCAUGGACAGUUCGGAGGGCAAUGUCGAGCGAUCUGCCAUGUCAAGAUCUGCUCUUUAUUUCUUGCGCUCACGGAUGCUCAAUGUAAGAAAUGACGGCAAAUUUUCCCAAACCCCGACAUACAACAGCGCGCCCUGUAAAUGUCAGAUCUUUAGGGUUUGAUAAGGAUACGUGCAACUCUGUUCUGCGCUCUCCGGUUUGCGCUGUGGAUGCCCAUGCCCUGUUCGAAUGCUCCUGGUUUGGCGCUGGUUGGAAGGAUGCUGGCAAAUGUCGUGCAAGUGCAGAGAGCAGAAAAUGGUGAGGGUGUAGGAUUUGCAGAAGUAAAGAGGUAAGAUCAUCCUUCCAUUUUCUCGUGAUGUAAAAAGAUAGUUCUUCCAUUUUCUCGUGAUGAAAAAUGAACAUUUGAGAAAUUUAGGGUAGGACUAAAGAGGUAAGAUCAGUCUUCCAUUUUCUCAUUCUGUAAAAGGAAGAACCUUACAGAAAUUUAGGGAAACAGAGGACCUUCCGUUACACUUUGCAAAUAUGCUUCUAUUAUAUUUCCUCAUUUUAAGAAAUUGGUUUCAUGAACCAAAUCUCUCAUUUACACCAUCGCGUACUUCAUUACCAGUUUCAUAAGUAGGUCUAGAACAAAGGCAAUACCGUGAAUUACGCAUGUUUUUUAAAAUUUGUGAUGAGCCUGGUAAUUGAAAUUUUGUUCACAGUUAUGUUCAUACUGUUACCAG